rnacentral:lncRNA from 1 species
UUCUUAUUAUGUGUCCAUACAACCUUAUCCUUGCUUCCCUCGCCUUCUCUGCAAUGUCUACCACCACACAUCUUCUGAUCUCUUCAUUCCAUGAUAUCUUCGACCAGCUCUUCCGCAUCUCGUCCUAUCAUGGGUCCAUACCACCUUCCCCUUGCUUCCCUCGUCUUCUCUGGAAUGUCUACCACCCCACCUGAUCUCUUCAUUCCAUAUCUUCGAUCGUUUCUCCUGCAUUUCCUCUUAUCGUGUGUCUUACCACCUCAUCCUUGCUUCCCUCAUAUUUUCUGCAAUGUCUAUACCACUCCACAUCUUCUGAUCUCUUCAUUCCAUAAUACUGUAUCUUCGACCGGCUCUUCUGCAUCUCGUCUUAUGGGUCCAUACCACCUUCGCAUUCUCUGCAAUGGCAACCACUCCACAUAUUUUAUCCCUUCAUUCCAUACUAUUUUUGACCGGCUCUCUGAAAUCUCAUCUUAUCAUCUGUCCAUACCAUCUCAUCCUUGCUUCCCUCAUUAUACUCUUCCUAUUCUUCCCUCUUAAUGUCCUUAAACGAACAUUUACACACCUGGGGCGGGUUGUACGAAGGUCGGAUAGCUCUAUGUAAAAUGCUUGAAAAACUGUGAAACUACGGAUGUAGACGACACAAGAAGUAUAAAAAAACAUUUAACUUAUAAAUACUGAACUUUAAUACGAGUUAUACCAAACAACGACUGAUUUAACAAAGCUUGAAAAAUCACUAUCCAGUGGAUAGCGCUAUCCAGCCUUCGUACAACCAGCCCCCCUGGUCUUCUCACAAACCUUAACUCACAUCCAUGCCAACGUGUUCACUCAGUGAAACAUCUACCCCAUAAGAAACCAAUUUUGUGCAUACAGGUCCCUUAAUUCUCUGAUUCCAAUACUAAGAGAGAUUCAAUACAAGCAAAGCGCUCUCUCCUCCACAGAGGCUUUUAAAAAAAAAACCUUCCCUUUUCCGCCUGCGCUCCUUCGCCCAGCGGCUACGCUCGUGUUUCAAGAUCCGCCAUGUAAAGUGUAGUGAAAUGUAUCUCAUCGUAAUAUUAAAUCCUAAGAAAAC